rnacentral:rRNA from 1 species
CCCAAGUGCCAUUCUUAACGGGAUGGCUUUUUUUGAGUGUAAAAAGCUUGAAUAAUAAGAGCUGGGCAAGACCGGUGCCAGCCGCCGCGGUAACACCGGCAGCUCGAGUGGUAGCCAGUUUUAUUGGGCCUAAAGCGUCAGUAGCCGGCUUAUUAAGUCUUUGGUGAAUCCUGUAAUCCAACUGUCAGGCUGCUAGGGGAUACUGCUAGGCUUGGGACCGGGAGAGGUGAGAGGUACCUUGGGGGUAGGGGUGAAAUCUUGUAAUCCA